rnacentral:rRNA from 1 species
AGCGAACGCUGGCGGAAUGCUUAACACAUGCAAGUCGCACGGGCAGCAAUGUCAGUGGCGGACGGGUGAGUAACGCGUAGGAAUGUGUCCUGGGAUGGGGGAUAACGUCGGGAAACUGGCGCUAAUACCGCAUAUGGCCUGAGGGUCAAAGCCGCGAGGCGUCUUGGGAGCAGCCUGCGUUCGAUUAGCUUGUUGGUGGGGUAAAGGCUUACCAAGGCGACGAUCGAUAGCUGGUCUGAGAGGACGAUCAGCCACACUGGAACUGAGACACGGUCCAGACUCCUACGGGAGGCAGCAGUGGGGAAUAUUGGACAAUGGGCGCAAGCCUGAUCCAGCAAUUCCGCGUGGGUGAAGAAGGUCUUCGGAUUGUAAAGCCCUUUCGACGGGGACGAUGAUGACGGUACCCGUAGAAGAAGCCCCGGCUAACUUCGUGCCAGCAGCCGCAGUAAUAC